AUCUCUACGCCGACAGUUCCGGCAUUUUAACAGCUCCGUCACUACCGAACCGACGAGAUGCAGUUAGCUAAAUGGGCAUACAGCACUUUGUUUGCAAGGGCUUCAACAUUUGCUGCCACAACAUGCCUUGCUGCGGUAGUGUUUGAGACUUUCUGGAACUCUGCGGCACAUAACAUGUUUGACCGCAUCAACAAGGGGAGACAAUGGAAGGACAUCAAGCAUUUGUAUGACGAUGAGUAACAAAUCCCUCAAUAGUAGACAUUUUUUAUGGAAUGAGAGUUAUGGCGUGUGAUAGAAGAGUAAACAACCAGUGCUAACAUCAGCACUUCCAAGCCAGUGGAGCUACCAUUCUGAAACGGCAAUGUGUGACCUAUGGCUGAACCCUGAACAUCAAAAAUACAUAGGAAUUUGCAAAAAACAAAACAAAACAAAAACUUAUAUUAGUCAUACAAACUUUGUGAAGAAGAAAGCUUGAAAAUUGAACAACUUCAAUAUUUUCCAAAAUAGAAAUGAUUUAAAAAAAAUUGUGAUUGCAGGGAGUGUUUUGAUUACUCUGAAUGUAACAGCUGUUUGUUUUGUGUUCAUGUGUAUAUUACUAGAUCUUUGUGAAAUAAGAUUCUUAUGUUUUCCAAUACAAUUUAUUAAAACCAGU